GACGAACGCUGGCGGCGUGCCUAAUACAUGCAAGUAGAACGCACAGUUUAUACCGUAGCUUGCUACACCAUAGACUGUGAGUUGCGAACGGGUGAGUAACGCGUAGGUAACCUGCCUGGUAGCGGGGGAUAACUAUUGGAAACGAUAGCUAAUACCGCAUAAUAUUAAUUAUUGCAUGAUAAUUAAUUGAAAGGUGCAAUUGCACCACUACCAGAUGGACCUGCGUUGUAUUAGCUAGUAGGUGAGGUAACGGCUCACCUAGGCGACGAUACAUAGCCGACCUGAGAGGGUGAGCGGCCACACUGGGACUGAGACACGGCCCAGACUCCUACGGGAGGCAGCAGUAGGGAAUCUUCGGCAAUGGACGAAAGUCUGACCGAGCAACGCCGCGUGAGUGAAGAAGGGUUUCGGAUCGUAAAGCUCUGUUGUAAGAGAAGAACGGGUGUGAGAGUGGAAAGUUCACACUGUGACGGUAUCUUACCAGAAAGGGACGGCUAACUACGUG
rnacentral:rRNA from 1 species